rnacentral:lncRNA from 10 species
ACUGCCUGCAGCUUCUGUUGCACCUGGGGCAGAGCUACGCUUGGCUGCUGACACCUAUGAGAAGGCAGGCAUGGUGGACCUUCCGCAAAGGCUGAAGGCCUGAAUAGAACAAAAAGGCUCACCGUCCCAUGAAUAGAGAGAACUCCUCCUGCCUGACUGCUGUGAGCUGGGACAUCCAUUGUUUUCUGUUUUUUGGAUUUGAACUGAAACAUCAGCUCUUCCUUGAUCCUGAACCUGCUGGCUUUCUGACCGGAACUUGCACCAACAGCUCUCCUAGUUCUCAGGCCUUUGGACUUGGACUGGAAUUACACCAUCAAAUCUCCUGGGUCUCCAGCUUGCCAUCUGCAGAUCUUGGAACUUCUUAACCUCCACAUCC